GGAGGGACCACAGGGUGAUCAUUGAGUAAAGUUCCCUCUUCCACUUCCUCCCUCCUUGCAACCUGCUACUGACUGAAGCACAAGGGCUGAUACCCAUAUUUGCCCAUCUCUCCUUGCUCUUUGCCCUGGUCUGACUUUCCUUUUCCCCGGGCACUGUCCUCCACUACAGAUCCAGAGCCAUGCAAGCCAUCAAGUGUGUCGUGGUGGGAGACGGAGCUGUGGGAAAAACCUGUCUCCUUAUCAGCUAUACCACCAAUGCCUUCCCAGGAGAAUACAUUCCCACUGUGUUUGAUAACUAUUCUGCCAACGUGAUGGUUGACAGCAAGCCUGUAAACCUGGGACUGUGGGAUACUGCUGGACAAGAAGACUAUGACAGGCUGAGGCCACUCUCUUACCCGCAGACGGAUGUCUUCCUGAUCUGUUUCUCCCUUGUCAGCCCGGCAUCUUAUGAAAACGUCCGUGCUAAGUGGUUCCCCGAGGUGCGGCACCACUGCCCUAGCACUCCCAUCAUCCUUGUGGGCACAAAGCUGGAUCUUCGUGAUGACAAGGACACCAUUGAGAAGCUGAAGGAGAAGAAGCUAUCCCCCAUUACAUAUCCUCAGGGCCUUGCUCUGGCCAAGGAAAUUGGUAUACUCUGUGAAAUACCUCGAGUGCUCAGCUUUGACGCAGCGCGGCCUCAAGACAGUGUUUGAUGAGGCCAUCCGAGCAGUCCUCUGUCCACAGCCCACCCGCACAAAGAAACGUGUAUGCAGCCUCCUCUAAGCAAAUCCCAGCCCCAUCCUGAUGCCAGGUGCUGCCCAGCACGCAGGAGAGUGACGGCUCCAGCUUCCCGGAGCUCAGCACUUUGUGGCGGUCAUUGUGCUUUUUUACUUCUGCCGGCUUGAAAGACUGUUGUGGAUCUUUAGCACUGGUGUGUUGGUUUGCACAACUUCCCCACACUCGCCUCACCCCAGCUGCUCCUGCCCUUCCUCCCAGGCCCCUGAGGUUACAGCGUAGUGAAUAAGAUUCAAUAAACAGACCAUAUUCUU